rfam:Ruminococcus obeum CAG:39 genomic scaffold, scf260
AACUGAAUAGGGCAUAGCCGGGGAAAUCCGGUGACGCAAAACUACAGGGUCUAAGCGAAUGUACGACAGCCAGUUGCAACA